rnacentral:rRNA from 2 species
UGAGGAAGUAAAAGUCGUAACAAGGUUUCCGUAGGUGAACCUGCGG